rnacentral:rRNA from 1 species
UGGGGAAUAUUGCACAAUGGAGGGAACUCUGAUGCAGCGACGCCGCGUGAGUGAUGAAGGAAUUCGUUUCGUAAAACUCUGUUCUAUGGGAAGAAAAGGACUGUACCAUAGGAGAAAGCUCCGGCUAAAUACGUGCCAGCAGCCGCGGUAAUACGUAUGGAGCGAGCGUUGUCCGGAAUUAUUGGGCGUAAAGGGUGCGCAGGCGGCUUUACAAGUUGGAUUUGAAAUAUUGUGGCUCAACCACAAACGUGCAUCCAAAACUGCAAAGCUUGAGUUAAGGAGAGGUAAGUGGAAUUCCUGGUGUAGCGGUGGAAUGCGUGGAUAUCAGGAGGAAUACCGGUGGCGAAGGCGACUUACUGGACUUAAACUGACGCUCAGGCACGAAAGCGUGGGGAGCAAACAGG